AUACAUUUAUGUAUUCGUUAUUUUCCUUCCUCCGAGGUUUAUUGUCGUAAAAUGUUUCUAAUCGCGCGUUAAUAAUCAAAAUAAUGUUUAUCAACAUCGUCGUCGUCGUCGUCGUCGUUGUCAUCAUCGUGGUGGAAAGAAAAGGCAGAGAUAAUAUUUCGUAACGGGGUGAUAACACAGUCUGCGCUUCUUGUUAAUCCCAAACGUUGUGACUGCGAACUGCAUACAUACAUUGGUUAUCCAAAUCAACAUCGUAUUAUACUUGUUUUAAUAAUGACAUCAGAAAGGAACGAAUAAAACGCUGAAAAAACUUGUGUCGCAAACGGUUUCUCGAUUGGUGUGAUUUUCUGUGUUCUCGUGGUCAAAGUUUCAUUGGUUAGCCGUUGGCUGUCAACUGAUUAAACAACAUUACGUUAUACUGGUGCUUCUGGCGAGUACAUAAAACGUCAUAUCGCGAAACGUAUGUUACAAACGAACAUUACAUACGCGUGAACAAUUGUAAAUUUUUAUCUUAAUUUUUAUUCAUAUUUCAUUCCCCACGGUUUUAAUCAAAAGUUAUAAACUAUCGCGAAAAAGUUUGAUAGUAAGACUUGGUCGAUGAUAAAACCUAAGAAACAGUCAACAGAACGAGGACAAAUCCACCGACUCGAGCCAGUUUCGAAUUGGUCGUAAAGAAACUGAUACAAGCAAAAAAAAAAAACACAACACAAAACACAAGAGGAGAGAAGAAGAGAAGACCAGCAGCAUCGAUAACAUAAAUAUACACGUGUGUGUAGUACAAAGGAUAAACAAGAAAGUAACGAAAAUACGAAGUAAGAAAAUAUAAUGGUGCUGUAGUUUUAUGAAAGAUUAGAAUCGUUGGGCCAACGUCGAGAGCGCGGAGCGUGGAACUCGUGAUAGCGUUGCGAGGCGGCGAGCAGCCGUUGGAGUAACCAACUCGUGGUACUGAGUCGGCGUCAUCGAUGACUUGAGAAGGAGAGGCGAGGAGCGGAGCGAAGGAGGCGGCACUCGUUCGCCGGAAUCGUUGCUCGAGUCCCGAGCCCAAGUCGUGGCGGCGUCAUACCGGUAGAAAACUGUGCGUGCCUGCGGUAGCAACAGCGGCAGCGAUACAACGGAGGUGUUUGUAAUCGUACUGGUUUUCGGUUUGAUUCCGUGCGAUGAGUAUCACGUGAACAAUCGCCCUGUGUGCAUCGCUCGUCGAGUGCCGCGUGUAUAAUUUAUCGCUUCGAUCGUUGUUGUUCCCCAGUCCCUCGUUUUCCUCUUCGAUUAUUUGUGAAUAUCGCGUUCCUACCGCGUUUUUAAAACUGACGUAAAACCAGCCGAAGGGGGAUAUUCCGAUUCAGUUUCCACUUGUUCUUCUUCGCUACUUCACCGUUUGCAGAACUCGUAGGAGAACAACAAAGGCUCAGUGGUUCUUGAGACGUGAAAGAAGAAAUAUACACACAUAGAAGAAAGGCAGAGAGAAAGAGCGAAAAGGAGAAAGUGAGCGAGGAAGAGAGAUAGAAAGAAAGAGACAGAGAGAGAGAGAGAGAGAGGGGGGAGAGGAGAGAGAGAAAGAGAGAGAAAGUAUAGUUUAAAAAAAGUUGAUAACAGAGAUAGAAAGUAGCGACGAAAAAGGAGUUAAAACGAAAAAGAAAAUACAACUAAAUACGCAUGAACACAUGAAAAAAUUUGUGCUUUUUGUUCCGCGAUUAAAUUAAUAUAUCGAAUAGAAGUUGAAGUUUGGUGAUAAAGCAGUAAAAAGAAAAACAAAAAAAAACAAAAAAAAAAAAAGAAAACAAAAACCUUAACAAACAAAAACUAUAUAAAGAACGAGAUAUAAAUAAAGAAAUGGCGAUGGUAAACAUGAAUAACCUAUUGAACGGAAAAGAUUCGAGGUGGCUACAGUUGGAAGUGUGCCGAGAGUUUCAACGUAACAAAUGUACGAGGCCUGACACGGAGUGUAAAUUUGCACAUCCACCAGCCAACGUUGAGGUACAAAAUGGACGAGUCACCGCUUGCUACGACAGUAUCAAGGGUCGAUGUAACAGAGAGAAACCACCUUGCAAGUACUUCCAUCCGCCACAGCAUCUUAAAGACCAGUUACUAAUCAACGGUCGGAAUCAUCUCGCGUUGAAAAACGCCUUGAUGCAUCAGAUGGGCCUUACACCAGGACAGACCUUAGUGCCAGGCCAGGUGCCCGCUGUGCAGGAGGUGACUGCACCACCUCCUUCGUCACACCAUCAUCAUCUCCAACAGCAAAUCCAGCAACAGCUCCUCGCUACCCACGCCUUUAUGGCGACGAAUCCGUACCUGACAGGAAUGCCGCAGGUCGGUAGCACCUACAGCCCGUACUUCGCGCCUGGCCCCAUAAUGCCAGCGAUAAUGGGUCCAGCCGACCCGACGGGGGGCGUCGGAAGUCCGCUUGGCGUAGUUCCGCAGACGGUCGCCGUACCCCAGAAAAUGCCAAGGAGCGAUCGACUCGAGGUAUGUCGUGAGUUCCAGCGCGGGGCGUGCAAACGCGGCGAGACGGAGUGUCGGUUUGCGCACCCCCUGGAGACGGUGCAGGCGAACGAGGACGGCUCUGUGACGGUCUGCAUGGACGCAGUCAAGGGCCGAUGCAAUCGAGACCCCUGCCGCUAUUUCCAUCCCCCUCUGCACCUUCAAGCCCACAUUAAGGCCGCACAAUCUCGGGCUAGCAUUGCGCAGACGGCGACUGUGCAGACGAAUGUACCGGGAAUGGGCACCGUCGCAGGAGUGCCAGGAGUGCCAACGGGACUCCAGAACGCAGCUGCAGCGGCCGCUGCAGCCAAUAUGGCCGCCGUCGAACUCGGCAAGAAACGGAUGCGCGAUCCCAAUGACGACCUGCUAAUGAUGGACAUGAAAUCAGUCGGGUCAUUCUACUACGAGAAUUUUGCCUUCCCCGGAAUGGUACCGUACAAACGUCCAGCCGGCGACAAGUCGGGCAUGCCUGUGUACCAGCCCUCGGGAGCGGCGACGACCUACCAGCAGCUGAUGCAGCUACAGCAGCCAUUCGUCCCCGUCUCAUUUACUGGACACCCUCCCGGUGUGCCAAGAUUUUAAUCGUCAGUUAUGCAAUCGACCAGCCUGCAAGUUCGUCCAUCUACAUGACGGAAGCGUAGAGGUGAUCGACAACCGUGUCACGGUAUGCCGAGACGCAGCUAAGGGUGCCUGCGUACGUCCCCAGUGUAAAUAUUACCACAUACCGGUAUCUCUACCACCGGCACCCCUGAUGGCGUUCUCAGCAUCGGUAUCAUCGUCAUCGCCGUCGUCAGCAUCAUCAGCAUCAUCAGCAUCACCUGCAACAGCCUGCGGCAACACCAUUCAAACGUCAGCAAGUCGUAUAAGUAAUAAUGCUAACGUAACGUCGUCGAAUGCCGUCGUUUUCGCGGCGGCGACUAUCAACGAAAAAACGAACAGCAACGCAGCUUUAGCCCUGCAGUAGCUAUAAAAUAAUAAUCUCUUUGAAUAAAUAUUAGAGGGAAAGGAAAACCUUGAGCAAAUAUUGAAAUCGGAAUAUACAACAGAAAACAAAGAUAAUAAUGAUAAUGAUAAUAACAAUAAUAAUAAUAAUAAUAAUUAUAAUAUACAAGGUUGUG
rnacentral:misc_RNA from 1 species